rnacentral:rRNA from 1 species
UACGGGAGGCAGCAGUGGGGAAUAUUGCACAAUAGGCGCAAGCCUGAUGCAGCCAUGCCGCGUGUAUGAAGAAGGCCUUCGGGUUGUAAAGUACUUUCAGUCGUGAGGAAGGUGUUAAGGUUAAUAACCUUAGCAAUUGACGUUAGCGACAGAAGAAGCACCGGCUAACUCCGUGCCAGCAGCCGCGGUAAUACGGAGGGUGCGAGCGUUAAUCGGAAUUACUGGGCGUAAAGGGCACGCAGGCGGUUAAUUAAGUUGGAUGUGAAAUCCCCGGGCUUAACCUGGGAAUGGCAUUCAAGACUGGUUAGCUAGAGUCUUGUAGAGGGGGUAGAAUUCCAUGUGUAGCGGUGAAAUGCGUAGAGAUGUGGAGGAAUACCGGUGGCGAAGGCGGCCCCUGGGACAAAGACUGACGCUCAUGUGCGAAAGCGUGGGGAGCAAACAGGAUUAGAUACC